rnacentral:rRNA from 1 species
CCUACGGGGGGCUGCAGUGGGGAAUAUUGCACAAUGGGGGAAACCCUGAUGCAGCGACGCCGCGUGAGUGAAGAAGUAUUUCGGUAUGUAAAGCUCUUUCAGCAGGGAAGAAAAUGACGGUACCUGACUAAGAAGCCCCGGCUAACUCCGUGCCAGCAGCCGCGGUAAUACGUAGGGGGCAAGCGUUAUCCGGAUUUACUGGGUGUAAAGGGGGCGUAGACGGGAGUGCAAGUCUGGAGUGAAAGGCGGGGGCUUAACCCCCGGACUGCUUUGGAAACUGUACGUCUGGAGUGCAGGAGAGGUAGGUGGAAUUCCUGGUGUAGCGGUGAAAUGCGGAGAUAUUAGGAGGAACACCAGUGGCGAAGGCGGCUUGCUGGACUGUAACUGACGUUGAGGCUCGAAAGCGUGGGGAGCAAACAGGAUUAGAUACCCGGGUAGUC